rnacentral:rRNA from 1 species
UUUUAAAUUUAGAGUUUGAUCCUGGCUCAGGACGAACGCUGGCGGCGUGCUUAACACAUGCAAGUCGAGCGAUGAAGCUUCCUUCGGGAAGUGGAUUAGCGGCGGACGGGUGAGUAACACGUGGGUAACCUGCCUCAAAGUGGGGGAUAGCCUUCCGAAAGGAAGAUUAAUACCGCAUAAUAUAAGAGAAUCGCAUGAUUUUCUUAUCAAAGAUUUAUUGCUUUGAGAUGGACCCGCGGCGCAUUAGCUAGUUGGUAAGGUAACGGCUUACCAAGGCAACGAUGCGUAGCCGACCUGAGAGGGUGAUCGGCCACAUUGGAACUGAGACACGGUCCAGACUCCUACGGGAGGCAGCAGUGGGGAAUAUUGCGCAAUGGGGGAAACCCUGACGCAGCAACGCCGCGUGGGUGAUGAAGGUCUUCGGAUUGUAAAGCCCUGUUUUCUAGGACGAUAAUGACGGUACUAGAGGAGGAAGCCACGGCUAACUACGUGCCAGCAGCCGCGGUAAUACGUAGGUGGCGAGCGUUGUCCGGAUUUACUGGGCGUAAAGGGUGCGUAGGCGGAUGUUUAAGUGGGAUGUGAAAUCCCCGGGCUUAACCUGGGGGCUGCAUUCCAAACUGGAUAUCUAGAGUGCAGGAGAGGAAAGCGGAAUUCCUAGUGUAGCGGUGAAAUGCGUAGAGAUUAGGAAGAACACCAGUGGCGAAGGCGGCUUUCUGGACUGUAACUGACGCUGAGGCACGAAAGCGUGGGUAGCAAACAGGAUUAGAUACCCUGGUAGUCCACGCCGUAAACGAUGGAUACUAGGUGUAGGGGGUAUCAACUCCCCCUGUGCCGCAGUUAACACAAUAAGUAUCCCGCCUGGGGAGUACGGUCGCAAGAUUAAAACUCAAAGGAAUUGACGGGGGCCCGCACAAGCAGCGGAGCAUGUGGUUUAAUUCGAAGCAACGCGAAGAACCUUACCUGGACUUGACAUCCCUUGCAUAGCCUAGAGAUAGGUGAAGCCCUUCGGGGCAAGGAGACAGGUGGUGCAUGGUUGUCGUCAGCUCGUGUCGUGAGAUGUUAGGUUAAGUCCUGCAACGAGCGCAACCCUUGUUAUUAGUUGCUACCAUUAAGUUGAGCACUCUAAUGAGACUGCCUGGGUAACCAGGAGGAAGGUGGGGAUGACGUCAAAUCAUCAUGCCCCUUAUGUCCAGGGCUACACACGUGCUACAAUGGUAGGUACAAUAAGACGCAAGACCGUGAGGUGGAGCAAAACUUAUAAAACCUAUCUCAGUUCGGAUUGUAGGCUGCAACUCGCCUACAUGAAGCUGGAGUUGCUAGUAAUCGCGAAUCAGAAUGUCGCGGUGAAUACGUUCCCGGGCCUUGUACACACCGCCCGUCACACCAUGAGAGCUGGUAACACCCGAAGUCCGUGAGGUAACCGUAAGGAGCCAGCGGCCGAAGGUGGGAUUAGUGAUUGGGGUGAAGUCGUAACAAGGUAGCCGUAGGAGAACCUGCGGCUGGAUCACCUCCUUUCUA